UACGUAGGGGGCAAGCGUUGUCCGGAUUUAUUGGGCGUAAAGAGCGUGUAGGCGGCUAGAUAGGUCCGUUGUGAAAACUCGAGGCUCAACCUCGAGACGCCGGUGGAAACCAUCUAGCUAGAGUCCGGAAGAGGAGAGUGGAAUUCCUGGUGUAGCGGUGAAAUGCGCAGAUAUCAGGAAGAACACCGGUGGCGAAGGCGGCCAUCUGGACGGUAACUGACGCUGAGACGCGAAAGCGUGGGGAGCAAACAGG
rnacentral:rRNA from 1 species